AUAAGACUCAUAGCAUUAAUCAUUAUUUAUCUUUGUUGUCUUCACCAUCGACCAGCUCUGCCGCAGCAGCACCCUCACCUGCUGGGGUCGGCUCGUCACGGAUCUCAGAGUCAUGGAGGGGAGGUGGACAUAGCACGGACCAGGACCAGCAGCAAGAACCUUCAAGUAGAGCCGCCAGGCAGGAUCCCCCAGUCUCCUCCAGAGCUUGUGGGAGAACCCGUGGCGGUCGGGGACGUGGUUCCAGAGUCUCCAUAUAGACAACAAACUCCUUAUCCAGCUGGUGGAGGCGUGUCCCGCUUUAUGGGACCACACUGACCGCCACCAUGCCGACCAUCACCAUACCCGGCGGCUCUGGAGGCAGAACUGUGAUUCGUUGUUUACUGGUUGGGGGGAUCUCAAUGGGGCGGCUCAGAAAGAAUGUGAGAGGUUAUAACAAGGAAGUUCAGGCCCCGAGUGGAUCCAGAGCCGCCAUAUGUGUACAGUGCUGCCUUGGGGUUCUU